rnacentral:miRNA from 1 species
ACGCGAGCAAAGAUGGAGAGGG